CCUACGGGGGGCAGCAGUGGGGAAUAUUGCACAAUGGGGGAAACCCUGAUGCAGCGACGCCGCGUGAGUGAAGAAGUAUCUCGGUACGUAAAGCUCUAUCAGCAGGGAAGAAAAUGACGGUACCUGACUAAGAAGCCCCGGCUAACUACGUGCCAGCAGCCGCGGUAAUACGUAGGGGGCAAGCGUUAUCCGGAUUUACUGGGUGUAAAGGGAGCGGAGACGGCAGCAAAAGUCUGGAGUGAAAUCCCGGGGCUUAACCCCGGAACUGCUUUGGAAACUGUGCGGCUGGAGUGCAGGAGGGGUAAGCGGAAUUCCUAGCGUAGCUGGGAAAUGCGUAGAUAUUAGGAGGAACACCGGUGGCGAAGGCGGCUUACUGGACUGUAACUGACGUUGAGGUUCGAAAGCGUGGGGCGCAAACAGGAUUAGAUACCCUUGUAGUC
rnacentral:rRNA from 1 species